CUAGUANAAGCACUAUACGGCGAAACUGCGAACGGCUCAUUAUAUAAGUUAUCGUUUAUUUGAUAGCACCUUACUACUUGGGUAACCGUGGUAAUUCUAGAGCUAAUACAUGCUAAAAAUCCCGACUCCGGAAGGGAUGUGUUUAUUAGAUUCAAAACCAAUGCCCCCUGGGCUCACUGGUGAUUCAUGAUAACCGCUCGAAUCGCACGGCCUUGCGCCGGCGAUGGUUCAUUCAAAUUUCUUCCCUAUCAACUUUCGAUGUUUGGGUAGUGGCCAAACAUGGUUGCAACGGGUAACGGAGGGUUAGGGCUCGACCCCGGAGAAGGAGCCUGAGAAACGGCUACUACAUCCAAGGAAGGCAGCAGGCGCGCAAAUUACCCAAUCCCGACACGGGGAGGUAGUGACAAUAAAUACCGAUAUAGGGCUCUUUUGGGUCUUAUAAUUGGAAUGAGUACAAUUUAAAUCCCUUAACGAGGAACAAUUGGAGGGCAAGUCUGGUGCCAGCAGCCGCGGUAAUUCCAGCUCCAAUAGCGUAUAUUAAAGUUGUUGUGGUUAAAAAGCUCGUAGUUGAACCUUGGGCCUGGCUGGCCGGUCCGCCUCACCGCGUGCACUGGUCCGGCCGGGCCUUUCCCUCCGCGGAACCCCAUGCCCUUCGCUGGGCGUGGCGGGGAAACGGGACUGUUACUUUGAAAAAAUUAGAGUGCUCCAGGCAGGCCUAUGCUCGAAUACAUUAGCAUGGAAUAAUGAAAUAGGACGCGCGGUUCUAUUUUGUUGGUUUCUAGGACCGCCGUAAUGAUUGAUAGGGACAGUCGGGGGCGUCAGUAUUCAACCGUCAGAGGUGAAAUUCUUGGACCGGUUGAAGACUAACUACUGCGAAAGCAUUCGCCAAGGAUGUUUUCAUUAAUCAGGAACGAAAGCUAGGGGAUCGAAGACGAUCAGAUACCGUCGUAGUCUUAGCCAUAAACUAUGCCGACUAGGGAUCGGGCGAUGUUAUUCUUUGACUCGCUCGGCACCUUCCGAGAAAUCAAAGUGCUUGGGCUCC
rnacentral:rRNA from 1 species